rnacentral:rRNA from 1 species
CCUACGGGUGGCAGCAGUGAGGAAUAUUGGUCAAUGGGCGGAAGCCUGAACCAGCCAAGUAGCGUGCAGGAUGACGGCCCUACGGGUUGUAAACUGCUUUUAUACGGGAAUAACGCGCCUUACGUGUAGGGCUUUGCAUGUACCGUAUGAAUAAGGACCGGCUACUUCCGUGCCCGCAGCCGCGGUAAUACGGAAGGUCCGGGCGUUAUCCGGAUUUAUUGGGUUUAAAUGGAGCGUAGGCCGCAUGUCAAGCGUGCUGUGAAAUGUCGGGGCUCAACCCGGGCCUUGCAGCGCGAACUGGCGUGCUUGAGUCCGCGGAAAGUAGGCGGAAUUCGUGGUGUAGCGGUGAAAUGCUUAGAUAUGACGAAGAACCCCGAUUGCGAAGGCAGCUUGCUGCAGCGGAACUGACGCUGAUGCUCGAAGGCGCGGGUAUCGAACAGGAGUAGAUACCCGAGUAGUC